rnacentral:lncRNA from 1 species
GACCUUAGCCUUAUGUGGACAACUUCAGGAUCUGACACCAGUCGGUUUCGUUGGAAACGAUACCGACAAACAGGUGGGUUUGCCUUGUGGGUAUUAAUGUGGGGAUGCCAGGAGGAGCUAUAUAAUAUUUUACAGGCCUUAGCCUUAUGUGGACAACGUCAGGAUCUGACACCAGUCGGUUUCGUUGGAAACGAUACCAACAAACAGGCGGGUUUGCCUUGCGGAUAUUAAUGUGGGUUAAAGUUGUGAGUAAGGAUGGAGAGAUGCUCAAAGACACAACAACCAACAGCUCGUAUGGUCGAGACCUGAGAUCUUUAUUCGUGAGUGAGAGA